UACGUAGGGGGCUAGCGUUGUUCGGAUUUACUGGGCGUAAAGCGCACGUAGGCGGAUUGUUAAGUGAGGGGUGAAAUCCUGGAGCUCAACUCCAGAACUGCCUUUCAUACUGGCAAUCUAGAGUCCGGAAGAGGUAAGUGGAACUCCUAGUGUAGAGGUGGAAUUCGUAGAUAUUAGGAAGAACACCAGUGGCGAAGGCGGCUUACUGGUCCGGUACUGACGCUGAGGUGCGAAAGCGUGGGGAGCAAACAGG
rnacentral:rRNA from 1 species